AAUGAACGCUGGCGGCAGGCCUAAAACAUGCAAGUCGAACGCUCUAGCAAUAGAGAGUGGCGCACGGGUGCGUAACACGUGGGAAUAUGCCUUUUGGUACGGAACAACGUUUGGAGACGAACGCUAAUACCGUAUGGUCCCUUCGGGGUAAAGAUUUAUGGCCAAAAGAUUAGCCCGUGCUGGAUUAGCUAGUUGGUGAGGUAAUGGCUCACCAAGGCGACUAUCCAUAGCUUGUCUGAGAGGACGAUCAGCCACACUGGGACUGAGACACGGCCCAGACUCCUACGGGAGGCAGCAGUUAGGAAUAUUGGACAAUGGGCGCAAGCCUGAUCCAGCCAUGCCGCGUGAGUGAUGAAGGCCUUCGGGUUGUAAAGCUCUUUAGCCGAGGAUUAUAAUGACUGUAGUCGGAGAAUAAGCCCCGGCUAACUUCGUGCCAGCCGCCGCGGUAA
rnacentral:rRNA from 1 species